rnacentral:lncRNA from 1 species
CUCUGUCCUUUAUCCGUCCCAGCUGUCCAGAAGGGGUCUCUUCAUGGCCACUGGCCUGCAAAAUCUGAGAGCAGUCGGGUCUCGCUGAGCCAGGGGCAGCCUUGAAGCAGUUUUACAAACUCAGUGGACAUCAUUACUUCACUGUCCAGCGAACGACACCUUGGAAUGAAUUCUUGCUACAUGGGAAAAAGAGAAAUGUAAACAUCCCGGUGAUCCACGAACAACGAAGCAGAGGAGAAUCCAAACAAGCGAAACCCAUUUCUGAACAUAGAUCAGCCUGAAAACGGAGGCCAAGUAUGGGCAAUGAAUGGGUG